UACGGAGGAUCCAAGCGUUAUCCGGAUUUAUUGGGUUUAAAGGGUGCGUAGGCGGCCUAUUAAGUCAGGGGUGAAAGACGGUGGCUCAACCAUCGCAGUGCCUUUGAUACUGAUAGGCUUGAUUACACUAGAGGUAGGCGGAAUGUGACAAGUAGCGGUGAAAUGCAUAGAUAUGUCACAGAACACCAAUUGCGAAGGCAGCUUACUAUGGUGUCAAUGACGCUGAGGCACGAAAGCGUGGGGAGCGAACAGG
rnacentral:rRNA from 1 species